GCGGAAACGGCUCGCCGCAGGGUUGGCGGACUUGAGAAGGAGCGAAGAUGGCGGAGUGAGGCGUGCCGCUGCUGACUGGCCUCUGGGCCGGGGGCGGGUCGGCCCCCGGGAGGCCGAGUGCACCUGGCGGCCCGUGCGAGGUGAGCCGAGAAGGCCGGCGACGGAAGGACGAACAGGCGGUGAGGAGGUUCCUUAUCACAAGAAGAACAUUUUCCUUGACUUUUAGGUGCUUUUAUAUUCAUCUCAAAAACAAAAUGCUGAACUCAGGACUUUGAAAGUAUCUCUUAAGUUGUCUCCUAGAGCGGGUAGUCCUGCUUCCUUUAUCCAGCUACUUUCUCUAAUCAUGAAAUGUGGAUAUCUCUUCUCUACACAUUACCUCCAUGAUUUGGAAUGGAAAAGACCAGGUUGUUUUUUUGUCCCACCUCUCAGAUUCUACAAAGAGAAGCCCUUAAGAUGCGGUUAUCCUGCCUACUUCUCCAGAAAGAGAAGCAACUGAUAUGGGUGUCUUCUGCUGCUCUUUGCUUAAUUAUAAAGAAAUUGUUUUACAAGCUGAAGGUGGAUGUUUCAUUUGAAACAGGUGCUUAGGUGGUGGUAUUUGUGAAUUCUUUUUGUUCCAAAUGAGAAGACUAAAUAAAUAGCAAAUAUGGAUGACUUCAGGGUUUUUUAAAUGUCUUCCAGUUUCAGCCACUAUCAUGAUAAGCACAGUUGAGACUGCAGCAGUGAAUUCCAAAUAUGCAUUCUAAUUUGAGAUGAAAGAUGCUAAAAAAUUACAUAUAUAUCUAUAUCCUAGCUCAUUAUGCUGUGACACAGAUUUACAGAAUAAGAACAAAGGUCUAGUUUUACAAUUAAACCUUCGAUGUGAUAAAAGAAGCAUAAAGACAAGAUGUCAACGUUAAUUUCUUAUGUGAACAUGCCUUCCCAUUGUCUGUACAAAUAUGCACUUUUACAUGUGUAAAUCCACAUUUUCGGAUCAGAAGAGGGAUUUUUCUCCCAGAGAAGGAAGCUGUUUUUGGAUUUCUUUCUCAGAAGUCUUUGGACAUUUGGUACUUAUAAAUGAUUUUCAUUCUUCUAAGGAAGUAACAGAUUGUGUAGCAAUUAACCCUAUGAAUGCAUGUUUGGGUUUAGUGAAAGGGCAGUAAAAGAAAACAGUUUGAGUCCAGUGAUGGACCUGUUCACCCCCUUAGAAGGAGAAACUGCUAUAAAUUGCUUCAUUCUUUUUUGUGGAAUCUUACAUACAUUUGAGACUUUGUUUUCCGCAUUGCUAAGACUGGAAGAAAAGUGGUAUAAGUGGUUUUUCAGUUCAGAAGAUGUGAUAAACCGAGUAGUAUGACCUGCCUUCAACUGAGGAGUAGGGGGAAUGGGGAGAAAUGAGAGAAUUUUCCAUUUUAACUCCCUCUUCUAAGAAACAAAAAUGCCUAAUGCAAAUCCAUCUAACUUUAUGUGUGUUAUAUUUUAUAGCUCCAUUUUUUUUUUUUUAAACAUAACUCUUUUCCUUAGACCCCAGACGGAUACUUGGAUGUUUGAUUUAUUCUAGGUGAUAGGUGUAAUGUUAUGCUGAAAAGGCUGGGACUCAGGUACUUUCCUCAGUUGGGACUGAACUGUCUUACCAGGGAAUUGGCUUCAGAAACAAUCUUCCCAAACUUGUGGAUGGGUCAUUGUAGUUUCAGGGCAUGGAAAAGAAACCUCAAACAAGAAAAAUUGUUCUAAUAAGAAAUAGAGAUUUUCCCCUUAACAAAGUUAUACAAUAUAAUGUACAGACUAUAGUAGAAAACUCAUUGCUUCCAAAUCAACAGAGGAACAUUGUACAUACUGUCAGGUCUUUACAUAAGAAGAGUAAAACUUUUAUGAUUCUUUGUGAGUACAGAAUGAAUUUAGAACCUCUUAGAUGAAAUUAAGAACAGAAUUAGAUCAUCUCUGUGUUUUUUAGAAUGUUUGCUUGGGGCCAUGCAUGCUGCAGUGCUGGGAACUUAGUGUAGAUUCAUCAAAAUUUGAGUGAGAGGAAUGGCCCCAAAUAGGAAAUGCUGAGCACUCUUAAUGAUUAGUGAGAUUGAUCAACCAAUUUGAAUUGGGAUUAAAAAAAAAGAAUUUUGGUAAAAUUAUUACAUGAUACAGAUGAAAUAUAAUCUCUUUUAAUUGAGGACAAUCACUAAGUCGUAAUGCAUAGAAUUAACUUUGGUUAAAGGUAACUUAAAUUUUUCUCUGAAUAAUCUCCAAGCCACUUCCUGAUGUUUUCCUUUAGAAUUUUGGAAUUGUUAAAGAUAGAAUGAAGUCUGCAUACAUGGUUCCCAAUGGUAUGUUAUGAAUAUCUUAUGAAAAAUUUAUACCUUCCAAUUAUCUGUUAUCUGUCUUCCCCAUGUCCUUUGGCAACUUUUUUGGUAGGAUUGUUGGGCAGGGGAUAGGGUACUUGUAUUCAUCAGCACCGGUGAAACCAGCUUUGGCCCUCUGGUUUGAACAGGUAUUCGACUAAGCUUCUCUAGAUGCUUUGUAUUUUUCCAUCUCUUAGUUCAGACAACUGUGUUUAAUGCUUUCAGAUUCUAUUCUGCAUCUUCCAUGGCUGAUAUUAGAUGUUACUUAACAAAGUGGGUAUAUUCCAGUUGUAGUUGCCUAAUGUUUACUUAUACCUCUGUAUUUUUUCUUGUCUAUUUUUGUUCCCUUCUUGAAGGCAAAAGCUGUAAUUUUAGGCAGGACUAUCCUUAAUAUGGAGUUGUGCAUCCUUCCUUUCCCUUGCUCUUACAUGUUAGCUGGCAGUUUCUCUUUUGAAAAGUUUGACAAAAAUGGGAUAUGUGCAAUAGGAAUAUAUAUAUAUAUAUAUGUAUAUUUUAAUACUUGUGGACAAAUGUUACAAGUUGUUUAAGAACAACAAAAUCACCAAUGUCUUCCAUUUUGAGAUGUGUAUAGUUUUGUAAGCAUUAGUGCUUGGUAGCAUAUUGUAGUGCCAUGUUAGGGGUUAGUGCAUGAACCUAGUAAUAAUUUUACACUUCAGGAUGAAUUGUUGAUUAUAACAAUAGUGUAAAAAGAGUGAAAAAUCUAGCCUUUUUUUCAUAAAUAUCCGAAUCUGUGAUAUUCUCCCUGGGGAAAGGAGAUUAAGGCCAAAUAAGUGUCAUUUUUGAAUAGAAAUGUGGGGUCAAAAUCUUGAAUAUUGUGUUUCAGGAUAUUUUGGCUUUCCAUGAGGUAGCUGGAAACCCUUUUUAUUUUAUGAAAUCUUAAAAUGAGCCCCCGUUUCCUGAUUCCGCUUGCUCUUAGUUUGAUGUGAUUUUCUUCUUAAACUGUCUUCAUAUUAAUUUGUCUUUUAGAUUAUUUUCCCAUUCCUUGUCUCUCAAAUUAUUUUACAUUUUGCAUGUCAUACUAAGAUGCCAUAUUGUUUCAGUGAGUGCUUUUUAAAUCUGCAGACCAUUUACAUUUCCUGUCUGCAGCAUGCUGUGUGUAAAUACUGUUAGUAAUUCAGAGUAUCCUAGAUUAUUUGUAAUAGGCUCUUCCUACUGCCAAAUCUGCUGAAUUGUGUAUUAAUGGAAUUUCAGACCUUUUCAUGAGAAUUGGAGAUACAGCUGGAUGGCAAGUACCUAGGUUGCUAUGAAAUAAGUAGACUCUUUGCCUUGGUUAUAGAAAGCCUCAGACAGCUUUCAUUUUUUACUACUUUCCUUGUGGACAGUUGUUCUGAAAGCGUUAAGAUAGUUUUCUAUAGAAAACGAAUUCCUACCUCUAAAAGCUACCUUGAGAACUUGGAAGUGGCAGUUUUCUGAGGUGAUUCUUAAAUCUCAGUAUUAAAGAUUUGAAUCCAGGAUUUGUUGACAUAGAUUCUAUAGCUAGUAUGAUAGGAAACACAAAACUGUUUUAAUGUGGUGUAUCUUGUAUACAAGCAAGUUAGAAUAAGAAGCUUCUGGCAGCAGAUCUCCAGGGACUCAGGUUUAGAUUCUCAUAGUAUACUUAAAGUAGUUGUACUUUGACUCAAGUAGUUUAGUGCCUGGGAGAAUCCAUUUCUGAAAAGCAUUUAAUUUUUUUAAAAAAAUACCUCUGUAAAGGUAAUAAAUGCAAAAUAGCACAGUAUAUAUAGGAAAGGAUAUUUCCUGUUGCAAAAAAAAAAAAGCCAUAAAAUGAACUAAUAAUUUUCAAGAGGUAGAAUUUUAAUAGCAAUAACAGUUUUGCUUGUAUAGUAAAUUGCAUUAACAAGGUUGUACAGUAAAAUAAGUGAAUGACUUGAGUUUGUGGGGCUCUGCAAUCAACAGAGUUGCACAAAAGGAAAAAUGUUCUGGAUAAAGAGCAUAUAAGAGGUACUUUCUUUUAAAAUAGUGUGAAUGUAUACGAAUAUAUCAUUGUUUAAGAAAUAACAACUUUUGUAUAAGUUAAAGGUUGAAAACCCUGUUUGUUUCCUAAAGCAAAGGAUGUGAGCCGUUGAAAUGAAACCUUUCUAGUGCUUAACUGGAAAACAAAUAUGCUUCUACAACUCCACUGAAGCUGUCAUGUGGGUUUUGUGCUUAAGAUAUUCUUUCUAACAACAGGCAUUUAUUCUGUAGAAUGGCAUACUUUUCUGAUUUGUCUCAUUUUUCUCCAUUACUUUCCUGUUCAUUUUUUAAAAAAGAAGAGAAAAGUUUGUGUGUUUAGUAUCUUAAUAAAACCCAAGAACAUGGAUAGCUGGAUUUUCCUAAUGUUUAUGGUUUUGAAAUUGGGAUUUAAAGGUGAAAAGUAAAAGCAUUGAAGGGAAUAGCCAAUGCCUGUAUGUUUGUUUGUGUGUGUGUUAAACCUUGUCUAAUGGAGAUGUGGCCUGUGGCCUGUGAUUGCUUAUUUUCUUAAUAAGGAGAACCCAGCAAACUAAUUUCUUUCUUGAUCUGAGGAAUCACACAGUUCAUAUCAGGUUACAAUAAUGGAACUAGGGUGAUAUCUUACUCCCAUUUACCUCACGUCCAUCUUUGCCAUUUAGCACCUUCGAGAUCCCUGAAAAGAUUGGAUUUAUGUUCCCUCGUUUUCCCAGAGGAAACAAAUACUAAAAGAUAAGUGGUAUAGAUCUAAGAAUAUAGUGUCUCUUAAAUAUUUAAUUCUUAUAUGACAACUCUUAACAGAUAGAGAAAAGGCUAUUUUAAGUUGAUUAUAGCUUCUCUUUGAGUAUCCUAUACCAUCAGUUGGUGUUAGAGACAUCGAAACAAUAUUUAGAUAUCUGCAUGAUCAUGGGGACGGGUACAUAUUACAGUGAUGUCAAUAGUUCCAUUACUUGGAACUUUUAAAGAUUACCCUUCACAGCCAUGUCAAUAGUCCUAAAUGCUAAAAUAUGCUACAAGUUGUCAUAGUCUCAAAGCAUGCAGUUAAUUUCUUUGCAAAGUUAUUGUGGUCUUAUGUUUACUCUCUAUGUACCUGUGAUAUGCAAAAUAUGAAGAGACCCUUGACCUCCAGGAGUUUACAUUCUCAUGGUGCUGUUGGUGCAAGAAAAUGGCUUCUAGUUUAAGAACAUUGCUCGGCUAUUAAUUAUACCAUAUUUGGAAGGAUCCCUUGGUAAACAAUUUUAAAAAGCAAAGAGCUAUGCUAAAUUUCAGGGCAUUGAUGCUUGAGUUUACAUUGUAUUCGCUCUGCUCUUUAUCAUCUUUUCCCCAGGGAGCUGUACAGGUAAUGCUUAUUAAUGUGAAUCAGAAAAGAAACCAUUCUGCCUAAGAGCAUCUUCAUCUCCCUACACCACCUAUGCUCUUCUAAGAUAUAGCUGUCAAUAAAUGGCCAAGAAUACUUAACUGCACCAUAAAACUGUACAUCUCUCCUUUCUCAGAGCUUUUACAUCAUUCUCUACUCAAAAGGGCAGGAUUUGCAUAUAAGCCUUUUAAAAUUGAUUAGUGGUCCUAAUUUUAACAUUUUUGUUUCUGGCUUGUACCUCUGUUCUGAAGCAGCGUUGUGACAGAUGUGCAUCUGUCUACAUUUCUAAGUAAUUAACCUAAACAUUCAGUUGAAACUUUGCAUGUUUCCUUGUUCCAUAAUUCCUCUCAAUCAAGGAGUUUACUUUGCAUGUUUGUUAAACUAAAACUGGGUUUGGUUGAAAUUGCAAGCAAUAUUGGCAGGCCCAUAACUCUGAUUUUAGAGUACUAAUAUUGUAAUGCAUGGCUGAACAUGUCCAGUGUUGUGGUUACUAGUAAUUUUACAUAUGCAUUUGUUAAUAAUGAAGCAAUAGAGACU